rnacentral:rRNA from 1 species
UCAGGAUGAACGCUGGCGGCGUGCCUAACACAUGCAAGUCGAACGAAGCACUGUCGAUGGAGAUUCGUCAAAAUUGACUUUGACUUAGUGGCGGACGGGUGAGUAACGCGUGAGCAACCUGCCUUUCAGAGGGGGACAACAGUUGGAAACGACUGCUAAUACCGCAUAAUGUAUUUAGGAGGCAUCUCCCGGAUACCAAAGGAGCAAUCCGCUGAAAGAUGGGCUCACGUCUGAUUAGCUAGUUGGUGAGGUAACGGCUCACCAAGGCUGCGAUCAGUAGCCGGACUGAGAGGUUGAACGGCCACAUUGGGACUGAGAUACGGCCCAGACUCCUACGGGAGGCAGCAGUGGGGAAUAUUGGGCAAUGGGCGAAAGCCCUGACCCAGCAACGCCGCGUGAAGGAAGAAGGUCUUCGGAUUGUAAACUUCUUUUAUGAGGGACGAAGGACGUGACGGUACCUCAUGAAUAAGCCACGGCUAACUACGUGCCAGCCGCAGC